rnacentral:rRNA from 1 species
UACGUAGGGGGCAAGCGUUGUCCGGAAUCAUUGGGCGUAAAGCGCGUGUAGGCGGCUUAGCAAGUCGGGCGUGAAAGCCCUCGGCUCAACCGAGGAAGUGCACCCGAAACUGCUGAGCUUGAGUGCCGGAGAGGAUGGCGGAAUUCCCCAAGUAGAGGUGAAAUUCGUAGAUAUUGGGAAGAACACCGAUGGCGAAGGCAGCCAUCUGGACCGACACUGACGUUGAGGCGCGAAAAGCGUGGGGGAGCAAACAGG